rnacentral:rRNA from 1 species
AGCGAACGCUGGCGGCAGGCCUAACACAUGCAAGUCGAGGGGCCGUAGCAAUACGGCACCGGCAGACGGGAGAGUAACACGUGGGAACGUGCCCAUCAGUUCGGAACAACCCAGGGAAACUUGGGCUAAUACCGGAUACGCCCUUACGGGGAAAGAUUUAUCGCUGAUGGAGCGGCCCGCGUCUGAUUAGCUUGUUGGUGAGGUAACGGCUCACCAAGGCGACGAUCAGUAGCUGGUCUGAGAGGAUGAUCAGCCUCACUGGGACUGAGACACGGCCCAGACUCCUACGGGAGGCAGCAGUGGGGAAUAUUGGACAAUGGGCGCAAGCCUGAUCCAGCCAUGCCGCGUGGAUGAUGAAGGCCCUAGGGUUGUAAAGUCCCUUCGGCGGGGAAGAUAAUGACGGUACCCGCAGAAGAAGCCCCGGCUAACUUCGUGCCAGCAGCCGCAGUAA